rnacentral:rRNA from 1 species
UACGGAGGGUGCAAGCGUUAUCCGGAUUCACUGGGUUUAAAGGGUGCGUAGGCGGGCAGAUAAGUCAGUGGUGAAAUACCUGAGCUUAACUUGGGAACUGCCAUUGAUACUAUUUGUCUUGAAUGUCGUGGAGGUUAGCGGAAUAUGUCAUGUAGCGGUGAAAUGCUUAGAGAUGACAUAGAACACCUAUUGCGAAGGCAGCUAACUACGCGAAUAUUGACGCUGAGGCACGAAAACGUGGGGAUCAAACAGG